rnacentral:rRNA from 1 species
AUCAUGGCUCAGGAUGAACGCUAGCGGCAGGCUUAACACAUGCAAGUCGAGGGGUAUCACGCUUUCGGGCGUGAGAGACCGGCGCACGGGUGCGUAACGCGUAUGCAAUCUACCUUUGCAGAGGGAUAGCCCAGAGAAAUUUGGAUUAAUACCUCAUAGUAUAGAACAAUCGCAUGAUUGAACUAUUAAAGUCACAACGGCAAAAGAUGAGCAUGCGUCCCAUUAGUUAGUUGGUAAGGUAACGGCUUACCAAGACUACGAUGGGUAGGGGUCCUGAGAGGGAGAUCCCCCACACUGGUACUGAGACACGGACCAGACUCCUACGGGAGGCAGCAGUGGGGAAUUUUGGACAAUGGGGGAAACCCUGAUCCAGCCAUGCCGCGUGAGUGAAGAAGGCCUUCGGGUUGUAAAGCUCUUUCGGCCGGGAAGAAAUCGCACAGGCUAAUACUCUGUGUGGAUGACGGUACCGGCAUAAGAAGCACCGGCUAACUACGUG